UACGAAGGGGGCUAGCGUUGCUCGGAAUCACUGGGCGUAAAGGGUGCGUAGGCGGGUCUUUAAGUCAGGGGUGAAAUCCUGGAGCUCAACUCCAGAACUGCCUUUGAUACUGAGGAUCUUGAGUUCGGGAGAGGUGAGUGGAACUGCGAGUGUAGAGGUGAAAUUCGUAGAUAUUCGCAAGAACACAAGUGGCGAAGGCGGCUCACUGGCCCGAUACUGACGCUGAGGCACGAAAGCGUGGGGAGCAAACAGG
rnacentral:rRNA from 1 species